rnacentral:rRNA from 1 species
GUAGGUGGCAAGCGUUAUCCGGGAAUUACUGGGGCGUAAAGGGCACGCAGGCGGCCAAGCAAGUCUGACGUGAAAGCUCCUGGGCUUAACUGGGAGAGGUCGUUGGAAACUGUUUGGCUUGAGGUAAUGAGAGGGGUGCGGAAUUCCCGGUGUAGUGGUGGAAUGCGUAGAUAUCGGGAGGAACACCAGUGGCGAAAGCGGCAUCCUAGCAUUGACCUGACGCUCAUGUGCGAAAGCGUGGGGAGCAAACGGGAUUAGAUACCCCGGUAGUCCACGCUGUAAACGAUGAGCACUAGGUGUGGGUAGUGUUAAAGCUAUCUGUGCCGAAGCAAACGCGAUAAGUGCUCCGCCUGGGGAGUACGGCCGCAAGGCUA